rnacentral:rRNA from 1 species
CAGCCGCCGCGGGAACACGAAGGGGGCUAGCGUUGUUCGGAAUCACUGGGCGUAAAGCGCACGUAGGCGGACACUUAAGUCAGAGGUGAAAUCCCAAGGCUCAACCUUGGAACUGCCUUUGAUACUGGGUGUCUUGAGUUCGGGAGAGGUGAGUGGAACUGCGAGUGUAGAGGUGAAAUUCGUAGAUAUUCGCAAGAACACCAGUGGCGAAGGCGGCUCACUGGCCCGAUACUGACGCUGAGGUGCGAAAGCGUGGGGAGCAAACAGGAUUAGAUACCCCCGUAGUCCCUGUCUCUUAUAC